UGGUUGCUGGGGAGGGAGGGGACUCAGGUAUUCGUGGAGAUCUUUCUUGACCAUAGAACCGCUUGGUUGACAACUGUGUAUUGUUUAUUUCACGAUGAGGACCAUCUUGUAGGUUUUUAAGACAACGUUAUAAACUCCAAGGAUAAACCCAGUGGUCACCUGGAGUAGCUGGUGCGUUAAAUAGGUAGUUAUGUUGAGCCAUUUGUUGUUUGCAAAUUGAGUAACAUUCUGUUGUAUGAAAAUCAAACUGGUGAACUUUUGAUCAGAGACCUAGACUUAGGGACAGCUCGUGUUUAUCCCUGUGUUAAUUUACGAGAAUGGACACAAUGUAGCCGUGUUUAUCCCUGUGUUAACUUACGAGAAUGGACACAAUGUAGCUGUAUUUGUGUAGGGGAGCUGACAGCCUUCUUCCCUGGAUAGAAUUAGGAUCCACACGGGUCUCAUGUCGGCCUCUAGGGAUGUAGCCAAUGAUAUUCAAGUCGGGCUAGAGCCCAAAGCUGUACCGUUUCCAUCAGAGGAAGAUUAUUAAGUUGGUUGGAGCACAAAAAAGUAGGUGGCUUGUUAGAACUUGGAGAUGGAUCUAGGGCUCAGUGUGACCUGUUUGUCCAAGACAGACAGUAGGAGGUUGGAAGGAAGUGUUUGAUUAAAACUCGACAUGAGUCAGAAGGAGUGGGAUAUCGCUGCCAACGUUUAAGGACCAUUCCGUGGCCUGAACGUGGCUGAGGACAUCUCCCAGCCUGCACAUUCCCAUGCCUGCUCCACGGAAAUCCCAUCUCUGUGACCUCCUGGGGAAUUCAACUGCCGCCACCCCAGGCCCCCAGCUCCCGUCACCUCUGACACGGCUUCCGGCCAGGCCUGGAGCUCAUUAGGCUGCUGCCCCCACCACUGGGCUCCCCACUGUCUAGCAGCCCUGAGCGGGGUGGGAACGGCCCUGAGCCAAGAGAAGCGGAUGUAAGACGGAGCAGCCGAGCCCCGAGGUCGCCUCAGAUCCCUACUUGGCUGCAACACAAACGGCCCUCACCCCCGACCGGUCACUUCCUGGUGACUUGGACAACCAGCCGUGAGGCAGAGGGACCACAGGGGCCCAGGCAAAUCGCAUUGUCAUCUAGUCUGGCUGCGUUUCUGUGCUUUGAUUUCAGCUCCCAGCCAGGUGGGAAAGAAGCAAAAAAAGCAAAACUUAAUUAAAGGCUUUGUUUUUAUUUUCAGAAAAUAUCUGGGCAUUGAGGGGAGUAGACAGUAUACUACAGAGAGAGAUCAGAUAGGGCCCCACAUGAUCCUGUGUCCUGAUGGGAAUGUAGGGACCCUGGGAAAGAAGCCGAGCUGCCUGGAGGUCAAAGAAAAGAGUACUAUUUCUAUAACAUGCGUGAAUUUGCAGUAUAGCUUUUCUCAUGCGCUUAUUUUAGACAUUAGGGUGGAGUCACUUCUCCCCUACGUGGCAGCCCCACUCAUGAAACCAUUAAAUACUCUCUUAGUUGCUGAGCCUAGCUUUGUCUCUUAAGCAAAAAGGAAGAUGAAGAAGUUGGAUAAAACCCAGAGACUCACCAUCCCCUAAAAUCAUGAGAAGGGUUCAGUCUCAGUGAAUGCUCAGAAUACAGUGUGAAGCACCACCUUCUGGAUACAUCGUCUCGGUUUGCUCCUGUUUGUGUAACAUGAUGUCUGGGCUCAAACCUGUGUUACAUUGUAUAUGGAAAUAGCAAAAGGAAAGUCAUUCA